rnacentral:rRNA from 1 species
AUGCUUGUAGGUCAUGAAAAUAAUGCUUUAUGUGAUGGUUAUAUUGUUGAAUUCAUUUAUGAAGCUACUGAAAAUUAUUGUGAGGGAGGGAUAUAUGCUUGUAAGAGUUAUAAUAAUAUCAAGUUUCCUCUCUAUGUGCUUAAAGUUUCGAAGUUAUACUUGUUUUGCCUUCCUAUGCUAGUUGAUUCUUGUUCCCUUAAGUUGUUUUCUCUCAAAAUCACUAGGCAUAGGAAGUGGGUUAGACUUGAAUGUGCUAGUCAUAUUCUUCAUGAUGCUCUCUUUGUGUUUAAAUUCUUAUCUUUUAUGUCAGCAUCAUUGAAAUCAUUAUGCCUUGCUAAAAGGCAUUAA